rnacentral:lncRNA from 1 species
UUCCCUGGCAAGAUUCUUCUGAAUUGUGCUGCCUUGACCAAAAGAGGGGCCAGUGUCAUUCAAAGAUGUGGCUGUGGAUUUCACCCAGGAGGAGUGGUGGCAACUGGACCCUGAUGAGAAGAUAACAUACGGGGGUGUGAUGUUGGAGAACUACAGCCAUCUAGUUUCCUUGGCUUAUGAGGUGGCAACAUCUUGUACUUCGGAGAUUCUGAAGCCGAGAAACUUGCCCAAGUCCUUCUUCUUUUCCCAUUAACAAGAUAUGAUAUCACCAAGCCAAACGUCAUCAUUAAGUUGGAGCAGGGAGAGGAGCUGUGGAUAACGGGAGGUGAAUUUCCAUGUCAACAUAGUCCAGGACAUUUUGACCUCUGCUGUGGCAGAACCUCCAAGGCGAGGAGGCUGUGGGGAACCCAGGGGAGGUGUCUAGGGCAGCUCUGCCUUUUGCCCAGCCUGGGGAGUCCAGUGGCAUCAGCCGAAGCCCCUCCCACCCUCCUCUGGGCAGAUCGUGAAGAAGUCAUGCUACCCACGCUGGAAUGAGACGUUUGAAUUUGAGCUGCAGGAGGGGGCCAUGGAGGCGCUGUGCGUGGAGGCCUGGGACUGGGACCUUGUCAGCCGAAACGACUUCCUGGGCAAAGUGGUGAUCGAUGUCCAGAGACUGCGGGUGGCGCAGCAGGAGGAGGGCUGGUUCCGGCUGCAGCCCGACCAGUCCAAGAGCCGGCGGCAUGACGAGGCCCAGGGCAGCUGAUCCCACUCAUCGAGGAG